AUUGAACGCUGGCGGCAGGCCUAACACAUGCAAGUCGAGCGGGGUUUUCGGACCUAGCGGCGGACGGGUGAGUAAUGCGUAGGAAGCUACCCGAUAGAGGGGGAUACCAGUUGGAAACGACUGUUAAUACCGCAUAAUGUCUAUGGACCAAAGUGUGGGACCUUCGGGCCACAUGCUAUCGGAUGCGCCUACGUGGGAUUAGCUAGUUGGUGAGGUAAUGGCUCACCAAGGCGACGAUCCCUAGCUGGUUUGAGAGGAUGAUCAGCCACACUGGAACUGAGACACGGUCCAGACUCCUACGGGAGGCAGCAGUGGGGAAUAUUGGACAAUGGGCGCAAGCCUGAUCCAGCCAUGCCGCGUGUGUGAAGAAGGCCUUCGGGUUGUAAAGCACUUUCAGUAGGGAGGAAGCGUUGUGUGUUAAUAGUACACAGCGUUGACGUUACCUACAGAAGAAGCACCGGCUAACUCUGUGCCAGCAGCAGCCGCAGUAA
rnacentral:rRNA from 1 species